rnacentral:rRNA from 1 species
GACGAACGCUGGCGGCGUGCUUAACACAUGCAAGUCGAACGGAAAGGCCCUGCUGUUGUGGGGUGCUCGAGUGGCGAACGGGUGAGUAACACGUGCGUAACCUGCCCUUGACUUUGGGUACACUUCAGGAAACUUGGUCCAAUACCGGAUCUGAGCUCCAGCGGCAUGGUGGGGGUUGGAUAGUUUCGGCGGGUGGGGAUGGACUCGCGGCUUAUCUGCUUGUUGUUGGGGUAGUGGCUUACCAAGGCUUUGACGGGUAGCCGGCCUGCGAGGGUGACCGGCGACAUUGGGACUGAGAUAGGGCGCAGACUCGUACGGGAGGCAGCAGUGGGGAGUAUUGCACAAUGAGCGGAAGCCUGAUGCAGCGACGCCGCGUGCGGGAUGUCGGCCUUCGGGGUGUAAACCGCUUGCGCCUGUGACGAAGCGUGAGUGACGGUAAUGUGUAAAGAAGCACCGGCUAACUACGUG